rnacentral:rRNA from 1 species
GACGUAGGGUCCGAGCGUUGUCCGGAGUUACUGGGCGUAAAGGGCGCGUAGGCGGUUUCUUACGUUCUACGUGAAAGCCCCUGGCUCAACCAGGGAGGGUCGUGGGAAACGGGGAAACUGGAGGCAGCGAGAGGCUGGUGGAAUUCCCGGAGUAGUGGUGAAAUGCGUAGAGAUCGGCAGGAACACCCAGGGGGAAACCAGCCGGACUGGGCAUCGACUGACGCUGAGGUGCGAGAGCGUGGGGAGCGAACCGGG